CAAAAGGUGAAAGGUCACUGUCCUAACAGCCGUUAAAAGGGCCGUUGAGGGGAUUACAUUGCCAACGCUCUUUGACCGUUGGAGUCGCUUAGUCGCAGAUAUACUUGGGGUUUACAGUCCUGUAUGAUGCCCCCAGCCUAUCAGUGAUGAGACCUGAUUUGACACUGCUCCCAGAAUCUUGCCGAAACUCCAUCAAGCUGUCUUCCUCCAUGAUUGGACACAAUGAUUCCUUGGACACCGUGCCUUACCGCAAGCUCAGCAUCCUCUUUUGUCAGGAUGCCCUUCAGAAUGAUCGGGAGAUCAGUUAGAGAGCGUAGCCAUUGGAUAUCUGACCAGGUUACUGCCGGAUCCAAAACAUCGUUGCAGAGAGGAAGAUUGUCGUUACGAUCUUUAUCCUUCUGUAUCACAAAAUGAUGUGAGGACUGUAUUACUUAGGUAUGGGAAUGUAUUGCUUAUUUCUGAUAUUCUGUGAAAUAAACAGCACAAAGGUCACUA